AUGGACAUUUUUUGCUCCCAUGCCAGCACAAAAUGGAGAGACUGGGCCAAACUAUGUACAGAUCUUGCGAAGGAAAUCUCCAAUCGGCUACUCACCUUUGACAUUGCAGACUACAUCCGCUUUCGGGCAACUUGCAAGCCAUGGCGUGACUUCACUGAUGACCCCCGCACAUGUGAUGCGAUGGACAUCCGCUUUCGCCCACGCAACUGGAUCACGCUCGCUCACUGUGCAUCCCCGUCAGGUCGUACCCUUCUCAAUGUCACCACCGGUGCCCGUACCAACAUUGACUUCCCGGAUCUAGACACCCACCAUUUCCUCAGCACGGCCGACGGCCUCCUUGUCCUUGGCCAUAAGCGCACUAAUACCAUUAGUCUUCUCCACCCAUUCACCGGUAAGACCACUGAGUUCCCUUCACAUUGCGCACCAUCCACAUCGAAUAGGCGCCUCCGAGUGAACUUAUCUGCCAUCAACGGUGCUGGCAUCGAUGACUCAACUAUUCCUAGUACGCUCGUUAUUAGCCUGAGAAAUGGUUUGCGUCAAGUUAUUUGUGCCAAGCCUAGUGACAAGCUUUGGGCUUUUGUGCAAGCUAUCGACCAAUGCUCGGCUAGCUUUCUUGACAAGGUUAGAGGCCAUUCACCGCUGACCUUUGGAGGGCGAUGCUACUUCAUGACAUCGGACGACAUGAUAAUUGCAUUGGAUUUGACUCCUGGGGUUGAACCUCAUAUGGUUUGCCUCCUCGAUAAAGACCCACAGUUGGUGAACCAUCAUGAAACAAUAGUUUACCCCUAUCUUGUUAGGUCCCAUGAUCGAAUGCUCAUCAUGAGGUACCUCUUCGGUAGGAACCUUCUCCAGGAAGGUGGAUACAAUGAAGAAGAUAUAUUCAUGUGGCAAGAUUGCCCAUCCCAUAUGGAGGUGCUUGAAGUGGACCUCCCUAGGAGGAGAUUGGUGACACAACAUGGAAUUGGUAGCCAUUGUGCAGCAUUCGUUGGCGCAUCUCACACAGUCAUGGUAUCCACUGAGAAAUUCCCUCGGAUCAUUUCCAAUGUGGUGUACCUCAACUAUCAUAUGCAAGGAAUAUUUCGUCAUUUUGCUGCCUACUGCUUUGAAGAUAAGACAACUAUAUCCGCAAAACACUUUCUCAAUCGUCGAAUUGGCAAAAACUCUCCUUGUGCUUGCCACUGGGAGCUUGAAGAUUAUCUUAUGUGUGAUGUUGAGAAGGGAUAUCGUAUGUAA
rnacentral:rRNA from 1 species